rnacentral:lncRNA from 1 species
AAUUUGGAGGGUGAGUUACCAAAUUAUUACCUAAAUCAAGAUUCAAACAUUUUUUAGACUUGAUCAAGUUUGUUAAAGAUUGAUUCAAACUUUAGAGAGUGCAAGAAAGGUGGUUGAUGAAUAAAUUCGCAUCACCAUCGAUUCUUAAAGUCAACUUGAAUAACUGUGGUAAUUUGACUUCAAAUCCCGUAGACAAAAUUUUGUGAGAAUGCACUAGAUAGAAACGUAGUGUGUUCUAAGAACUAUGAGCAUCUUGGAGUUAUACAGUGUGUUCCUACAUUUUUUUCAUAAAUGCAGUGCAUUUCAUAACACAUUGUGUUUAUCUUGACACCUAUUAAAGACGUUUUUCAAUCCACUUUUUUUGCGAAUGUUAUUGAAAAUUUUCUAAUGCAAGAAACUUAGAGAGGAAAAUGGGAAAAUUCUUAAGAUUUAUUAUUUUAAGAAUUUAAAUACCUUUGGGUAUCUAAAGUCGUUGGAUAACACUUCUAAAUACAUUGAAUUCAUUAGAUUCAUAUAUUGAGAAGUUUAAUAAUUGAAAAACGCUUAAGUGAAAAAUGUGAAGCUUUUUUUUUUAUAAACUUGAAAUAUCAUUUUUUUUAAACUCUUCUUGUAAUCUCUUUUAAACUAAAAAAAACUGCAUUUUUUUUUAAGUAGAUCAGUUUAAUCAAACACUAUAAACAUAUAUUACAUUUGUAUUUUAUUUACUUCUUCUCACAGUUAAGCUUACACUAUUAGCUUAGAUUAAUAUUGUGAUUUUCAUUACUAUUUCUUAAUCUAUUUGCCUUUUAAAUUAUUUCAAUUUUACAAAAUAAAAUAAAAUUUAAAUAAAAAAAAUAUUAUUUUAAAAGUCCAUCUUAUACUAACCAAAUUUAAUACCCACUCUAAAGCUAAUGUUGAAAUCAUUUAUUUUUUUUUGGGUACAAUUGUCAUGUCGUUUUACAUUUCCCAAUUUUCCGUUCAACAAUUUCCCAAUUUAUUGAAUACGCAUUAAAUGAAAUUGUAAUGGUCCCCAAAACCGUACAGGACGCGUAAACAUUCACAUGAAUGUUAGUACAUUACAUCAGUUUAUUUUUUCGGAACAAUUAUGAAUUUCAAACCAGUUGCUUUAACUUGUAGGGAAAUGUAGUAAUUAAUUAUUUUAGUUUCUUUAAAAAAAACUCAAAUAUAUUUUUGACCCCUUUAUUAAUAAUAAUUUUAUCUAUUUUUUAUAUUCUAUAAUAUUUUUACAAUAAAUCAUUUUUUAUAUCACAAGCAUAUCAAAGAGUGUAUAUAUUGGGAUCUGCUGUUCUGAUUCUUCAGAUUCGUUGCAGGACCAUCACACUGUAACUGUACACACAAAAAAAUCAAAACUGAAAAAUUAAAAUAAAAAAUAUAAUAAAUUCAUAGCCGUGGGUCCCACACUACCACUUGCUUCCAUCGAAAAUCGAAUUAGUCCCAAUCCAAUGAAUCACGCGCCACAUCCCUUUAUAAAUAGUCUCCCAAAUUCUUCACCCUUUCCACUUUCCCCUUCAAUUUCAACUAUCCCAAAACCGAACAAAAAAGCGUUCACCAAUUACGAUUCUAUCCUCGUCGCAACCGCCAAAUACAUCGCCGGCGGCGUAACAUGAUCGUCAGAGAAACGACGAUUACAACAGAAUUAAAAAGAGUAUGGUUCGUUGCUUCAGCUUAGGUUCCGUUUUGAUUCUCAUCGCGAUUGCUGCGUCUAUGGUUGUUCUUCCGUUGAUGCUUCCGCCGCUUCCUCCGCCGCCGUUGGUUCUUCUCUUCUUUCCCGUUGGGAUUAUGGCCGCGCUUGUUGUUCUCGCUUUCUCGCCUUCGGAAAACGUUAAAAACGCCGUCGUUUAUUCAUCGUAAGGAAUCGUGUAAUCGAACGGUGGAUGCGGAUCUGUGCUACAUUUUGAGUUUCUGGAAUGUUCGGAUCGGUUCUGGAUUUGGUUCCUUCGUUUGGAAGAUUGAUUCAUUACUUUUUCAGUUUUUUAUUUUAUUUUUAUUUUUCUAAUUUCUAAUAUUAAUUUUUGGUUACGUUUGUUGAUAUGAAAGGAAAGUUUAUAACGGAAAAUAAAAAAGAAAAUGCUAGUAGUAAGGAAAGAUUCAUUGUAUUAUUUCGGCUUAGAAAAUUAUUAAUUAAAUUAUUAUUAUUAUUAUUAUUAUUAUUAUUAUUAUUAUUAUUAUUAUUAUUAUUAUUGUUGUUGUGAUUUAUGAUUACACGUUUAUUUAGAAAAUUAUUAAUUAAAUUAUUAUUAUUAUUAUUAUUAUUAUUAUUAUUAUUAUUAUUAUUAUUAUUAUUAUUGUUGUUGUGAUUUAUGAUUACACGUUUACUACUUGAGAAUUAAUUUAAAAUGAUUUGUGAUUCUUUUUUAUGGUAUUUCUAUAACUGCCGACCGGCUGCGAAUAUUAUAAUAUUGGGAAAUAG